ensembl:snRNA U6 U6 spliceosomal RNA
GUGCUCGUAUCGACAGCACAUAUACAAAAAUUGAAAUGAUACAGAGAAGAUUAGCAUGGCCCCUGUGCAAGGAUAACUGUCAAAUCUGUAAAGUGUUCAUAUUUUUA